GCGGAGGUGGCGAUAUCUUAGACGCAGCGGACUUGAAAUCCGCCUGGUUCAUCCAGUGCGGGUUCAAGUCCCGCCGUCCGCA
rnacentral:tRNA from 1 species